rnacentral:rRNA from 1 species
AAUCAACGCUGGCGGCGUGCCUAACACAUGCAAGUCGAACGAGAAAGUGGAGCAAUCCAUGAGUACAGUGGCGCACGGGUGAGUAACACGUGACUACCUACCCUCGAGUGGGGAAUAACCUCGGGAAACCGGGGCUAACACCGCAUAAUAUCUACGGAUCAAAUGCGAAAGCAGCUUGAGGAGGGGGUCGCGGCCGAUUAGCUAGUUGGUGAGGUAAUGGCUCACCAAGGCAAUGAUCGGUAGCCGGCCUGAGAGGGCGCACGGCCACACUGGAACUGAAACACGGUCCAGACUCCUACGGGAGGCAGCAGUGGGGAAUUUUGCGCAAUGGGGGAAACCCUGACGCAGCAACGCCGCGUGGAGGAUGAAGCCCCUUGGGUGUAAACUCCUUUCGAUCGGGACGAUAAUGACGGUACCGGAAGAAGAAGCACCGGCUAACUCUGUGCCAGCAGCAGCCGCGGU